rnacentral:rRNA from 1 species
UACGAAGGGGGCUAGCGUUGCUCGGAAUCACUGGGCGUAAAGCGCACGUAGGCGGCUUCUUAAGUCAGGGGUGAAAUCCUGGAGCUCAACUCCAGAACUGCCUUUGAUACUGAGGAGCUUGAGUCCGGGAGAGGUGAGUGGAACUCCGAGUGUAGAGGUGAAAUUCGUAGAUAUUCGCAAGAACACCAGUGGCGAAGGCGGCUCACUGGCCCGAUACUGACGCUGAGGCACGAAAGCGUGGGGGGCAAACAGGAGUUAG